AAUGUUCUCUCUCGCCAUCGCCAUAUUGAUAUAAAAGUUUGUCUUGUGAAAUACACGAUGUGCAGUAUUCCUGUAUGAUGUAGUUAUCCAAUCCUUCUUGUUGUGUCAAAUAUAAAUUUUAAUUUUUAGUUAUUAAAUUCUACGUGAAAAGAUCAUAUUAAUACAUAUAAUUAUAUAUUGAAAGCUAGCUUUUGAAUUAAAACCAUGUGAAUUGAAUCUUCGGAUAUAUAAUAGUAACGUCAAUAAAUUUUGGUUUAGGUUUUCAAAUACACAUUUGCAUUGAAACUUGAAGCAGUUUUAUUUUAAGGACGCUACUGAUUUUCACAUACGUAUUUGCAUAGAAUCUUGAAGUUUAUUUUUAAGAAGGCUUCUAACAAGUUUAAAGUUAUCAAGAAUUUUGUUUCAUAUAAUUCUGCUAUUAGAGAAACAUAAUAAGUUUUAAAUUCUGGAAAGAUAUUUGCAUUUUUGAGCAUACGGCAUUUUCCGGGACCGCUAAACUUUUUAUAAGAUUAAAACGAUUUAAAUUGUAUCUUCAGCUAUAAUGCAUUAAUUUUGGUUUGAAUGUCCACACACAUCAAUGCAUUAAUGGUUGAAAUAAUAAUUCUAUUUUAAAAAGGGCUUUUGGUUUUCACACCCACAUUUGCGUUGAGACUACUGCGAGAGAGAAGUAGGUUUAUUUUUAAGAAGGCUUCUGAUUAAAACAAUUUAAAUUGAAUAUUCGGGUAUAAUGCAUUAAUUUUUGUUUGGAUGUCCACACACAUCAAUGCAUUAAUGGUCGAAAUAAUUCUAUUUUAAGAAGAGCUUCUGUUUUAAUUGCUACUUUAAAAGAUCAUAUUCACAUUAUAAUUACAUGUUGCGAUCUGAUAUUUGGAUUAAAGGUUUUCACAUACACUUUGCAUUGAAACUUAAAGUAGUUUUAUUUUAAGAAAGUUACUGGUAAGUCUACAUUUAUCAAGGAUCUUAUUUCAAAUAAUUCUGCUAUUAGAAUGAGUAUUAUGUAUUUAGAUUUAAAAAAUUAUUUGCAUUAUUGAACGUACGGCAUGUUCCGGGACCGAUUAAAUUUUUUAAAUAUAAUGUUUCUUUGGAUUAUUUCAAUUAAAAUUUUAACUUUCAAGUAUUAAAUUCUACUUCAAAAGACCAUAUUUACAUGUAAUUAUGUGUUGACAGUUGAUUUUUGUAUUAAUACCAUGCAAAUUAAAUUUUCGGAUGGAAUAAUAUCGACAGUAAAUUUUGGUUUAGAUUUUCACAUACACAUUUACAUUGAAACUUGAAGUAGUUUUAUUUUAAGAAGAUUUCUGAUAAGUCUACAGUUAUCGAGAAGUUUUUUAUAAUUCUGCUAUUAGAGCAACAUAAUAAGUUCUAAAUUAUUCAGACAUUUGCAUUUUUGAACAUACACAGCAUGUUCCGGGAUUAGUAAAGCUUUUUUUAAAUAUUGUCUCUUUUUAUUCUUUUAUAAGUCUUAAUUCGAAAUUAUAAUAAAUACUACUUCGAAAGAUCAUAUUUACAUUUUGAUUAACUACUGAAAGCUGAUUUUUUUAAUUUAAUACGGUAUAAAUUGAAUGUUUAUAUAUAAGAAUAAUAUCACUAGUUUUGAUAAUUUGUAAAUUUGCACACAUUAUUUGCAUUUACACUUGAAGUAAUAUUAUUUUGAGAAGGCUUCUGGUGAGUUCUUCUAAAUUUGUCGACGUUCUUUUAUAUAAUCUUACUAUUAGAAUGACUUGUGUUUUAAGUUCUGGAAAAUUAUUUGCAUUAUUGAAAAUACGGCAUUUUCCAGGACCGUUAAAAUUGUUUGAAAAUAUUGUAUCUUAAAUUUGUAUUAUUUCUAUAAAUCUUAAUUCAAAUUCUGAAGUAAUAAAUUAUUCCGCGAAAAAUAUUUUCAUUAUAAUUAGUUAAGUACUGAUUUAUUUUUGUUAAUUUUUAUUUAAACUUGAGCUUGGUGAAUAUAACCAUAAUGUAAAUAAUUUUGAUUUGCGUUUUAAUAAGUUUUCAUUAACAUUUGGAGAAAUCUUCUGACAUGUCUAAACUUUUUGUGUUUAUUUUUUCAUAUAAUUCUGUUAUUAACUAUGUAUUACGUUUCAAGGUUUGCAAAGUUGUUUGCAUUCGUGAAUAUUUCGGGAUCAGUGUAAGUUUUCUUAAGAUAGUGUCUCUUUGUAUAUGUAGAAAUCUUAUUUCUAUAUCAAUAAAUUUGAAAUAUCAUAUUUUAUUAUAAUAAUCUUAUAAUAACUGAUGUUAACUAAUGAUUUUAUUAUUGCUAUAAUGAAGAAAUAUGUUUCUCUCUUUUCUCGGUAUUGCAAUAAAAUCAAUAAUCUUCAUUUUAUUAAAUUCUUAUUAUUUUUUAUUACAAUCUGGUUGUUUGAAUAUAACGACAAUAACAACAAUUUUAAUUUCUUUUCAUCAUUUCUUACUAACAUUUGCAAUAUUGCUUUUUUAAAAUUGCUUUUAGUAAGCCUAAAAUUUUGAAGUUAUAAAAAUAUAUCAAGUAAUUAUAUCUUUGCGUUUAGAAAUCAUGUAUAUUUAUGAAAUGUAUAUAUUUGUAUAUGCAAUAAUUAUAUAUUAUAA